AACGGUCCUGUCAUCGAUUCGUUCGGGGUUUAAGCGGAUUUUAAAGAGAAAGAAAAUGAAUAAUUUUCAAGGAUUUUUGCAAGUAGCUUUGUUCGGGCAAAUGGAAAAUGUAAUAGGGAGGCGAGUUCAGUGCCUUUUAAUACUCGUAGAUUAUGUUUUUAUUAAGACAUGAGGAAAACAUCCAACGAAGAAUUUUACGAGACAACAGUGAUCCGUUUCAGCUGGGUGAAAUUGAUUUUCAAAAAAAUUUUCGUUUAUCAAGAGAAUCUGAAUGUACAAAUGGUAAGGACUAACAGCAGCACGUUUCAAUGAAAAUUUGUUUAACAUGCAGAUUUGUUAUGAGAACAUAAAAAUCCUGAAUUGUAAUGCACGGUUUCCGGGAUCUACUCACGACUCUGCAAUAUGGGGUAUGAAUGCAGUGAAAAGGCACCUGGAAGAAAAGUAUUUAACCAAUGAGUUACAUUCAUCUUGGUUAAUUGGUGAUUCAGGAUAUGCACUGCAGCCAUGGUUGUUAACGCCAAUGGAAAAUGUAGUCCACACAUUCACCACAGAGAAGAUACACACAACACAUUUUAGCCAAAAAUGUAAUAAUAGAACGCUGUUUUGGAAUUUUGAAGCAAAGGUUUAGAUGCCUCUUGAAGCACAGAGUUCUUCAUUGCUCCCCUGACAGAUCUGCGAAAAUUGUGUUGUGCUGUGCUAUACUCCAUAAUAUAGCGAUACAGCAGAACUUACCACCACCCGAGGAUAAUGAAGGUGAUGUAGAUAUACCUCCACAGAAUAUGAGAGGAAAUGAAGGUAUUUGUACCUAAUCAUCUAAAAAAAAACAAAUUGUUGUAUGGCCUCUUAUUAUUCUUUUCGACAUUCGCCACGUCGUGAAAAAACAACUAGGUAGGUACACUUGCAAUUAAUAACAAUUUUAAAGAAACGUCUGCAUUUCCAAAUCUGGCGGGUAUUUGUUUUAAGAUAAAGCGCGCACCGCAAUGCCCUCUUAUAUUUUAUCGCUGUGGUAUUUCACUCUUACACGCACUACCGUUGCGCAGCGUUCCUUGUCUUCUAGAAUGCGACACUUUUUUCCGAAAUAGCCACUGCGAGAUACCGGACAACGUAACGAUACCGUUAAAAUAUUGAUACAGCAUAUCGCGUUUAUCGAUAGUCGUUGUGGUCAUCAUAACCGUUGAUCGUUAAACUGCGAUAACGAUUGAUCGUAUAGAAUAACGAGAGUGAUACAGCAUAGGGUUGAUUGUUUAUUCAUAGGUAUUGCAAACAAAACAAACGCUUGCCCGUAGGCGCGUUUUAAGCGCGGUUUAGACGCUACGAUAAAUUGUUACAAUUUAUCGUAACGAUCGAAUCGUUACGAUUUAUCGUUGCGUGUGAACAGAGGAUUGUAGCAAUUUAUCGGAAUUGGAAUUGGAUUGGAUGGUUGAUGGCGGCCGGCUUCAAUUUCUGCGAAUCGUAGCGCUAAAUUGGAACGUGUAAACAAUAACAGCGAUUUAUCGCUACGAUUUGUGAUUAAUGUUGCCGACGUGAACCAUUUUUGUAUCGUAUCCAUUUGGGCUACUUGGACUGUCUCUAGCGCACACGUUUUACAUUUGGCGAGUGGCUAUCAAGUUUGGCCACCAAAAAAAAAUAUUUAGCGACACAUGGCUAGUCAGAAAUCAUAAUCGAGAUUAAGAUUCUAUUGUAAGCAAGCAAUGUAAGCAAUAAAGUGCGAGUAUAAUUUAUAUUAGUGGACAGAACCAAAAGACAAGUUGAAAAGUAAAAAAAUAAAAACGGUAUUAAACCGUGAUCGACAAUGAGAUUGGAACAAGAAAUCGUUACAUGUAAACAGUGCGCACUUUUUCGAUUUAUUGAACGAUAAAUUGGACAAUCAGAUCGUUACGAUUUAUCGAAGCCAAGAUCGUAGCGUCUAAACCGCGCUUUAAGUAAAUUCAUAUUCAAAGCGCUUGCGGUUGCGCGUUGCUGAGGGAGUCACGGUACAAUAGAUAUUCAUGUCUAAUUGGCUGUUGGUCUUCAGUUGGUUGUAAUUCGUUAAUCUCAAAAUAACAUUAUCUUGAAACGGACGUACCAAUGCAGAAAAAAUAACUGUUCUAUUAACGGAAAGAUACAAAUUCAAGAACUACAAUUGUUGAAAUUAAUGGUUACAUUGGACUGACCGCUGUUGUUUACAGUUACAAUCAGGCCUUGUUUGGUCUGCUCAGUAGAAAAGUUGAUUUCGUGAGUAAUAGACGCAACAGGAAAGGUUAUUCGGGAGCAACUUGGAAUGGAAGCAUUAGGCUGUUCAUCUCCCGUGACACUUGUGGAUAACGACAAAAUUCGCGCUAUUCUCUCUUGGCCAUGAAGAGACUGGUCAACAUAGCCACCCGCAACCGAUGCAGAUUUCCACCCUCCCAAUUGCUUUAAUUGAAGAGUGUCUCCACCUGCAUUUGCUAACAGAGUUGCCACUGUUCGACGAAAACAAUGCCCCGUGAAUUUAUCCACGUCCUUCAAUUUCAGAAAUGAUGCAAUUUUUGCCAAAGUUGUACUGUAAUGAAAGUGGCUUUGUAUGAACGUGUAUCACUAGAAAGCAUAAUUUAAUUAAAUGUUUACGUCUUUGUCAAAUAUGUAUUGUAGUUUUAUUUAAUAGCUACUUUCUGUGGUAAAUAAUCAAAACGUGCUUCAUUCAAAAAUCUCUACUUGAUCCUGGCCAAAAACCUCCGACUUCUUUGGCUUGUAUCCAACGUUUUGCGCCUUAAUGAAGGCGAUCAUCAGAUUUAGUGAUGUCUACGCUCUUAUUUAAAUUUAAAGUUGAGCUGGCAGUAUACUUUUUGAAACUGUCUCUGCAACUUCUCGUAACUCAGGGGGGGUACUUAUAAUCUCCUCUGAAUCAGACAUUUUCAAUUUUAAAUUCAAAUUUUCGUAAAAGUACGGCCGCGUAAAAUGAAACAAUUGACGGAUGUUUGACAAUUGUACGAACUGUGUGACAUUUUUCCGCUAAUGAGAAUAAAAUGCAAAAUUUAAACAAUUUAUUUAACCUUUUUGUAAUUUCUUACGAUUGUGAAUAAAAUAGUAUACGAACCUCGCGCGAAAGAUUA